CUCUUCCGUAAUUAGGAAGGUCUUGGCCACUUAGCCCUGACUCCUGCGAACUGGAUUCAAUAUUAUUUUCUACUAGAUUUACCUCGUCUGCCCCCGUUAAUAACCUAAAUUUUCCCUUCAUGGAAUCGAGGGUCGAGGAGGAUUUUAUUCACAUCCAGAAUUCGAACCCUGACAACGUUGAGGCACUUGAGUAAGAGAGUUGUUGGUCUUGGCGAGAGCGUGGUUAGUUAUGAAGAUGAGGUGAAAUAUUCGAGCAAUACCUUUUUGAAGGAGACGAAAAGGCAUCGCGUAUUGAAUUCUAGGUGAACGAAUCUUCUGUUACAUUUGCUUUUCGAGUUGCAGCAAAGAUGCCGAUUGGAAGAAUUAAACAAUGGCAGGGGUCAGCAAUUUGUAACCAAUAUGUUGGAGUACGGUUGAGGGAUAGGCUUCGAUGGACAGCAAUGUUCCUAGUUGGGAAUAUUUCUCCUCGACUUUCCUCACUUGUUCUGGUCUUAAUAUGCUUUUGUUUACUGUAAUUUCAUUUCUUUGUCCAUUUAAUUUUGUACAGGGAUGGAAUGGGGGGAAUUAGGAGCAGUAGAUGACCAAUAUUUUGAGCAGUAGAAGAAAGAAGAUGAGAGGAGAGAAGGAUUGUAAUGAGAGAAUUAAAAAGAUGGUUAGAGAGAAACGAAGACCUGAGGAUAGUAGAGUUUGAGUUAGUGAGAGUUCUUGUGUUUCCUUCUUUUCUUUUUUUAUAUUAUUUUUCUUGUUCUUCCUUUAUUUAUUUAUUUAUUUUUUGGGAAUUCUUUUUGCAGUUCAUUUGUUAGUAGAAAUUUUCGAGAUCAGAAGUACUGCAAUUUGACAACUUUGUUAUUGCUUUUACCUUCAAAAUCUUUAAUUCAUGAUUAAUGAAUAUAUUCUUAAGUUACAAAAUUUUGAUGGUAUUAGAAUGGAAAGAGGCCUAAACAGUUGACUAGAGGGGUUAUUGAGACGAUGGGUUAAAUAAUUAGUAUCAAUGUAGUGAUGGUUGAGAUUGUUACCAGGGAUCUGGCAAAACAUCUCAAUCGGACCAAACUCUUACCAAAUGAAAUGAAAGGAAAUAUUAAGUUUUGGGCAAAUGAAUCUUCUUUUACAUGUGUUUUCCAAGUUGCGGCAAAGAUGUCAAUUGAAAUAAUUAAUGGCAGCGGUCAGCAAUUUGUCACCAAUAUUUUGGAAACUUUAUUGGUCUAGUAUGAUUUUAUAGCCAAUUUUAAACAUAUUUCUUACUUUGCUGGUUUUAUGAUAUUGCGUGAUGCUUGUGGUAGUACUUAAUAUGGUUGCAGAAAAUCACAGGCUGUGUGUUGAUAAACUGCACAACUGAGUAUUAUACUCUAGAGGAGAAUAUUGCUUGAUGUUUCUUCAGUAGACCACCUGAAACUCAGGUGGGAUUUCACUUUGUGUAAUUUUGUUUUCUUUUCCUCCAACUAUGUGUUGAUAAACUGCACAAGUUGUUGUCAUUUGGGCAAGAAUGUUGUGUUAAAUGUUGAGUGGACGGCAAGAUGUUCAUCACAAGGCCUUACUACUAUAGGCUCUUGCAAUGCAAGGUUAAUUUUGUGGGA